rnacentral:rRNA from 1 species
CGUCCAGACUCCUACGGGAGGCAGCAGUGGGGAAUAUUGGUCAAUGGCCGCAGGGCUGAACCAGCCAAGUCGCGUGAGGGAUGACGGUCCUAUGGAUUGUAAACCUCUUUUGUCAGGGAGCAAAGGGCGCCACGUGUGGCGCUUUGCGAGUACCUGAAGAAAAAGCAUCGGCUAACUCCGUGCCAGCAGCCGCGGUAAUACGGAGGAUGCGAGCGUUAUUCGGAUUUAUUGGGUUUAAAGGGUGCGCAGGCGGAAUGUCAAGUCAGCGGUAAAAUUUCGGGGCUCAACCCCGUCGUGCCGUUGAAACUGGCGUUCUUGAGUGAGCGAGAAGUAUGCGGAAUGCGUGGUGUAGCGGUGAAAUGCUUAGAUAUCACGAAGAACUCCGAUUGCGAAGGCAGUUCACUGGACUGCAACUGACACUGAGGCUCGAAAGUGUGGGUAUCAAACAGGAUUAGAUACCCUAGUA